rnacentral:rRNA from 1 species
UACGUAGGGUGCAAGCGUUGUCCGGAAUUAUUGGGCGUAAAGAGCUCGUAGGCGGUGUGUCGCGUCGGCCGUGAAAACCUGCAGCUUAACUGUGGGCUUGCGGUCGAUACGGGCAUCACUGGAGUUCGGCAGGGGAGACUGGAAUUCCUGGUGUAGCGGUGAAAUGCGCAGAUAUCAGGAGGAACACCGGUGGCGAAGGCGGGUCUCUGGGCAACAACUGACGCUGAGGAGCGAAAGCGUGGGGGAGCGAACAGG